AUGAAUUUUCCAAGUCAUGGAAUUCGCAUCACAUUAGACCCACCAGAAAUCAAAACUGUCCUCAUGGACGACCAAUGGUGAUGUACAACAUUCUAUCUCUCUUCAACACAAGCAACUAUCUUCAAUUAACAUCAGAGCAAAAGAUUAAUGUAUGUGCUGAAGAACGUUCGUUUCGCAAAGAUGUUACAUGUGCCGAGCAGAUAAGUGAACUAUGUUGCAUUUACAUGGAAGAAAAUGGGUGGCAAUAUCCCGUGGAUGUAGGAGAAGGCAUAACAUUGUACAGAAACUUGCGGAGAUCGCUUAUGAUUGAUCUCAAUAUGGAAGAAAUCAACCCCCUCAAUUAGUGCAGUGCUAAGUUUCCUUAUUUUGAUGACUAUGAUUCGAGUGCAUAUGAUUUGGUUUGAUGUACGAUUUAAAAUCUAGGAUAUGAGUAAUUUAUGUGGAAACGAGGGAGUUAUCUAUAUUCAGUCUUUCCUAUCGUUUCCACAGAAAUUAGGAUGAGAGUUGCCUCAAAUCACUUUCCUUUAUACACCGUAGUGUAUAAAAGUAUUAAAAGAAAGACAAAAAUGUUUACAUGAUACAGUAUCAUAACAUGUUUGCAUCCUUAAGUGAUACAGAAAAUUAAGCCUAUUGAUAUUAGAUUUUAAUUCCAGGAGGUCUCUAAUCAUAUCAGAUUAAUUACCUGUUGAAUUUUGUAGAAUUAUACUGAUCUAUACAUGCUGAACAAACGGGUUUUAAAAAAUCAGAAAUGUUCAGGUGACCCCCCUAUGAUUUUACUUUUUGAACGACAUCCCUCCAGUAUUUCAUAAAUGCUACCCUCCCCCCAUAACUGCUCCACCCCAACUGAUAAAAAAAUGACUGUUCCCUAAAGACAGCAAAUGUUUAUGUAAGCGAUUAUAUUUAAUGACAUCAGCCUUCUCAUGUCAAGUGGAAUGUUGAUAUGAUUUCAUGUUUACGCAGCAGAUAAAGUCGAGUGAAAUGAUAACUGAAACGGUUCAAGCCUUCUGUGUGUUAAGAAACUAAAACGCUAUGUUGUAUGACUACCACUACUAUACAGUUAUAGCAUUCGGAAAACAGACUGAAGUCUUGACAAUCACAUUUGCUGUAUUAUUAUGUUUUCCCUGUGGAACAUACAGGUUUAGAAAUGUUUUUAAAAAUCGAUGUCCUUGUCCAUUGCUUUUGCUUUCUCUACAGAAUUGGUCGAAGAAAAACUCUUUUCUUUCUUCUUGGGACUGCGGGAGUGUCCCUUCUUGUAGCCACUAUAAUGUCCAUGUUCAGAGGUAAGCACUGCAUGGGUAUCCGAUGUUAAAUAUACGACCUCUGAUCAUCAUAUUACCUGAACGCCUUGUCGUUUGUCAAUAUUUUACAGUUUAGUUUUAUUUCACGUGAAUUUUUUUGUAUCAAUGUUGUCUGCUGUCAUUAAUUACAUUUAAAUAUAUAGAUUUUGUAUAAGAAUGUUCUAGUAUAUUGCUAUACGUGCGUCAGUUCGUCUGUCUUGCCUGUAACACCUUUUUGACAUUGGUACUCCUUUUUAUAUUCUAGGUGAAUUGUUUUAGCAUGGCCAUGUCUUGUUGAUGAUGAAUAAGGUUUCGAUUUAGGCUCAAUGGUUCAAAUAGGGGCCAUAUGAGUAAAAAGAUUUAGUGCUUGUCACUGGAACUCCUCAAGUUUUAUAAUUAAAUGCAAAGGAUUGUUUUCAACUUUGUGAUAUGACUUCCAAUUUUACCGUGAAUGUGUAACAUUUUCAAACGCAGCAGUUGACCUAAAUUGUCUUGGGACAAAUACAACAAGCAUUCUGAGAGUAUUGCAUGGCAAUACAUAGUCUCCUACCGGUCGCAAAAAUUACUGGACCGCAACAAUAUUCGAAAUUCAUUAUGUAGGAUAUUGUAAAGUAGAGAAUUGAGGAACCAGGAUAGGAAUGGUUGGAAAUCAACUACGUGUACCAUGCAAUACAAAGACUAAAUCAGGAAAAAAGAGAAAUUAGGUUUAGGUCUUUAACCAAGUCAAUGAACUGUGACCUGUAGGUGACCAUGAAUAAUUUAGCUAUAUUGUUGUUUUACUAUGGUAGAAGUUUUAAUGAGUGUAGUAUCUUAUCUACAGAAAUAAGAAACUUGGAUGUAUACUUUUAGCUGGUGUUGAUGUGACUCUACUAGUUCUGAUCAACUUUGUAGAUGCAAACUAAAAGGUUACCAAUUAUCAAAUGAAUAUCUGCAAGUACAACAAAAAAGUCCGAAAAACUGAUAAUUCACACUAUUUUUCAAAGACCAAGGACCGUAACUCAGCCAAAAAUCACAAAAUUCAAACCUGAUCUGUAACUUGUUAGGGCAAAAUUAUGUACCAAAUAUCAGACGAAUAUCUGCAGAAACAGAGAAAAUAUGCGAUUUUUCUAAGUCCAAGGGCCAUAACUUGGUAAAAAAUCAACCAACCAAAACCAAAUUCAAAAUUCAUCUGUAUCUUGUUAUGGCAAAGCCAUGUACCAAAUAUCAAAUGAAUAUCUGCAAACCCAAUAAAAAAGUGCGGAAAACUGAUAAUUGAUGUGAUUUUUCUAAGACCAAGGGCCAUAAUUUAGUGAAAAAUCAACGAAUCAAAUUUCAAACUUGAUCUGUAAUUUGUUAUGGCAAAAAAUGUACGAAAUGUAAGGUGAAUAUAACUAACAGUGAUCAAUCUCGAAUCCUGACCGCGACAAACCUAAGUCAUUGAAACAGGUAGUGACAGUUCCAUCGCCAAACGCUCGGCAUCAGGUGUGAAUGUCACGGGUCCUCGGAGAUGUCCCAUGUCGCAGUAGGUGUGGCACGCUAAAGAACCCUCACUGCUCAAUGACCGUAAGUGUCGAGAAAAGGCCUAAAUUUGAAACCCUUCAUCGGUCUUGGUGACGUCUCCAUAUAAGUGAAAAAUUCUCGAGAGAGACGUUAAGCAAGAUACAAUCAAUCAAUCAAUCAAUCAUAACUCUUGUAAGCAAUACAAAACAGAGAGAUUGGCAAACACGGACCCUUGGACACACCAGAGGUGAGAUCAAGUGCCUAGGGGGUUAAGCAUCCCCUGUCGACCGGUCACAUCCGCCGUGAGCUCUUUAUCUUGAUCAGGUAAACGGAGUUAUCCGUAGUCAAAAUCUGUGUGCCAAGAACGGUCUAACAAUCAGUAUGAAACACGCCAGACACCAUUUGACCCAAUGAUAGGGUAUAUUGGCAAAUUAGAUCGUUAUGACGACCGUAGAAUUUGCGAAAUGUUGACUUUAAACCCCUGCACCAUCAGCUUGUUUGUCAGUAGCUUGCCUUGAUUUAAAAACUGACCAUACGCAGAACAAGCUCUUGCAUAUCGAAUCAGUUGAGAGAUAUAAACACCAUAUGCAAAUGAUAAUGGAAUAUUACUACAUAAAUAUGGGAAAUAUGAAAUGAAUAUCUGCAAAAAAAAAAAAAAAAAAAAAAAACCAAGAGAAAAAAUGUGGAAAACUGACAAUUGAUGGCAUUUAUUCUACGAUCAAGGGCCAUACCUUCGUGAAAAAUCAAAGGACCGAAACCAAAUUCAAACUUGAUGUGUAUUUUGUUAUGGCAAAGCAACAUACCAUAUAGCAAAUGAAUCUCUGCAAGCACAGAGAAGUGUGGAAAACAUUUGAUUUGCAGGACUGACAAACAGACAAGACAGAUGGAUGGAGCGCAAACCUAAAGUCUCCCUUUCACUUCGUCGGUGAUAACUCUGCAUUAGGUCAUCUUUCCACGUUCUUGGUUUUGGUAGAAAAAUUUGGAAUCACGGGAUCGUUCAGUUCCGUCUUUUUGUACACAUCCUAACUGUACCCCACCAAUCUGAGGAAUGCUGGAUACGGAUACGCCUCUGUUUUUGCCAGAAUUGGUGGGGUAUUGGCUCCGUUCUCUAGUACUUUUUACAAUUACGUAUCGUGGGAACCCGGUGUGGUAUUCAGUGUGAUGUGUUUCAUAUCCGCCCUAUUGAUCUCCUACUUACCGGAAACACGUGGUCGAGAACUUCCGACAACCAUAGAAGAAUUGAGAGCUUGGUAUAAAACACACAGCGGACUCCGCAGACUGAGGUCAGCGCCAAAAGAAGCCAGUGACAAGACAUGAUACUAAACCAACAAUGUAACUCGUGAAAUAAAAUAAAUUACAGGAACAA